rnacentral:lncRNA from 1 species
CCAACUCCACCACCUCCUUCUCCGGUGAGCCUCUCUCUCUAAUGGCGACCCAACUCCGCCACCUCCCGCCGCCGCCCCNAGAGUGGCCUCUUCCUCCACCACCUCAACCACUAAAAUUCCACCUCCUAGGGUACGAUCCUUUUACGAUAUGUUGUGCUGUGUCCUUUAGAUAGGUUAUCGCAUUCCUGUGCAGUUCAAUACUAACACUAAUUACUGUGCACCGUCAAAAGACCCCGCACUACAUGGACAGCCCCUGCCACCUCCCCUUUUGCUGAAGUCCCGCCUCUAAGCCUCCACGCAUGGGUUGAAGCGAAAACGCUUUAUGGCUUUACCGGGAGUCCCCUACGUCCCCUCACUCAAUCGGCACAACCCUAAAAGCAUUAAUACACCUUACAAUUCCCAUAACAUACAUGUCCACCUCACCCAACCUACCACCUUGCGCCUUAGAGGUCUGCAUACGCACGUGCGGCAUAUGGAAGCUUGCGCUGAUGCGCUCAUAAUAAAAUAAUAAAUAAAAACUAGUUAAACGUUGUUUUUUUUUUUUAGUGGGAAAAAUAUAAAAAAAUAUUUUCCUCUCUCUCUAAUGGCGACCCAACUCCGCCACCUCCCGCCGCCGCCCCUCGCCGGAAACCGCCGCACACUCGCCGGAACCCUAAUCCGCUCGGCCUCCUCCUCCCUCGCCCCUUCCCAUCGUCGUCAGACCCAUACCCCUUCCCUCUCCCUCCCCCUGCUCCUCCGAUCGGGAUCAUCGAA